AGAUUGAACGCUAGCGGGAUGCUUUACACAUGCAAGUCGAACGGCAGCGCGGACUUCGGUCUGGCGGCGAGUGGCGAACGGGUGAGUAAUAUAUCGGAACGUGCCCAGUAGCGGGGGAUAACUACGCGAAAGCGUGGCUAAUACCGCAUACGCCCUACGGGGGAAAGGGGGGGAUCGCAAGACCUCUCACUAUUGGAGCGGCCGAUAUCAGAUUAGCUAGUUGGUGAGGUAAAGGCUCACCAAGGCGACGAUCUGUAGCUGGUUUGAGAGGACGACCAGCCACACUGGGACUGAGACACGGCCCAGACCUCCGUACGGGAGCAGCGAGUGGGAAUUUGGACAAGUGGGGAAACCUGAUCCAGCCAUCCCGCGUGUGCGAGUGAAGGCCGUUCGGGUUGUAA
rnacentral:rRNA from 1 species